UAGUUUGAGAGACAGGGUGAUGGUGGGCGGCAGUGGGCGGCUGGUGCUUUAUUUUACAUGGAUUUACGCUGAUCAGGAUGGUGACACGGUCCUCUGUUGGGUGUUGCCUGUGUGUGUUCUGGUGCAAGCUUGGUGCCUGGCAGGGAGGGCCAGGAGCUGCUGCUACUGACGGCCAGCAACACUGUAACAUUGGUUGCCUCAGCUCUCCUCCUGCAGUGUGUGUGUGUGUGUGUGUGUGUGUGUGUGUGUGUGUGCUCACCUGAAGAAGAGCUCCAGCAUCUCCCCAACGAAGCCAUGGUUAACGAGAGGAGUCUGGAACAUUUCACAGAUGGCGCGAAGGAGACACGCUUGGCCGUCCAGACCCAGGUUGUGCAGUGAAUCCUCGACAACCUGGUACAUCAUCUCUCUGCAAAGUGUUUGCUGUGGUGCAGUGUGUGACGAGACAGCCAGACGUUACCCUACGG
rnacentral:lncRNA from 1 species